UUUGCUAGGGGAUUUAUAACAGAACAUCCAGGUGGUAUCGCCACAUCUCUCGCAAAGAUGGACUGGGGAAAGACAUUAAGUUGGAACCAACACGCCAGCGGAUCUAUCUCGUUCUCGUUCUGGGGGACAAGUCAGCCUGUGCUUUCCUUUUUUUAGACAAAAAAAAAUCUGUCGUCCACUGAGCAGGGAAACAUUAGGAUCUUUGGAGAUUUGCGGAAGAGGAGUCAGAGCUGCUGGAGGAGAAAUUGGCGUUCCUGGACAGCACACCCUUAAUCUUCAAGCAUCCUUCCGUCAUGUUCUUUCUCUGCUGCUCCCAGUGUCUCAGCAGAGGAAAGUCAAUUCCUUGGAUAUUUUAAAGUCCUCUAAGUAAUGAGGAGUGUGUUGGACUCCCAUUUCUUUCAGCAAAGCUGCAUUCAUUCAUUGUGCAUCUAAUGUGUCGGCCAAGGCAGAGCCAUGAGGGAGGUUCACGCCGAUUGAAAGCAAGUUGGAGAUGCACAAAUAUGUAUGUAUUAACAUGCAAUAAAUCAUUCAGAAAUGCUAAAUCACAACUGUAACCUUCUGAUACUCUAUGACAUGAUAUCAAUCAGCAGGCUUCUGUGUAAAUACGUCUCUUUCUUGUGGGGUGCCUGCUAAUCUACCCGGACUUCAUCAUUGGCACCAUGCUAAUUAAUAGGCACGAUUCAUAAUAAAUAAAUUAUUUUCACCAGCUAAAACAUGGAACUUUGUUUAUUUGCUUAUUUGAAAGUAAACAUGCUACCCACCGACAUCUGCUGAGAAUGUGGCAACAAAUGGAUGACAGCAAUGGUAAUGAACAGUGUCUGCUUUAUUUAUGUAACUGCAAACAGUUGUACAGCCAUUCAUAAUUCUUCCAAUAAGAGGGAAGCCCACACAGAGCAGAGAGAAAUGGAAUCCAGACACCAGUUUGUGCAAAUGAAGGACAGAUUUGGUUGCACCAUUCAAGCUCUCAGUUGUUGUAUUCUGUGACUGAAGCCACUGCAAUUAG